rnacentral:lncRNA from 1 species
AAUAGCAAUAGGAAAACAUUUUCAGCACCCCAAAAGCAAUGGUAAGAAAAGGAAACAUGUAAAAGGAAUUGAAAGGAAGAUUAACCAAUUAACAUAAUUCAAUUCCAAGACAGUAUUCAGGGUAACCAUUAAUACUGGAAUUAGAACUCCUUUUAUAAAUCCUUUUGUUAACCAUAGAGCUCUUGCUAUUGCUGUUUGCCUACAAUUGGAACCCUUGGAUCUGAUAUAAAAUACAUCAUGAACAUAUACCAAAGAGACAAUUGAGCAUACAAGGGUAAAAUAAAACAAAAUACAAAAGCUAACAAAAAAAAGCAUUGAAAACAAACUGAAUAUGCAUAUGAAAUUUAAGUGACAGAAUUUGCAACUUUAGAUUGAUUGUCACAGAAGACCACAAUUCCAAUUGCAAAACACCUAUAUAAUAAAAUUUGUUAACAAUAACAAACAUCAUGACUUCACAACUUGCACAUAUCCCUUCUUCCACACGCUAUGUGGUCUGUGCAAAUUUCAAUUUUUAAUUGUUAGGGUCACAUUAUCCAUUUUACUGCCUUCCUCAAUUGGCACACUGUCUUGUCCUCUGUUUCUUAGAUAGUUCAAUUUUUUCAUCAAUAAGAAAAAAAGUGUCAAAGUAUCCUAAUAGAAAGUUCAUGAUCAACCCCUUCAAAGUUCAAACAAUUAUUCAAUCUGAUAACCAAAUAAAGUAAUGUGAUUCCACAGCAUAUUACUAAAAUAAUGUGGUUUGAAAAUGUACGUGGUCUGUGCAAAUUUCAAUUUUUAAUUGUUAGGGUCACAUUAUCCAUUCUACUACCUUCCUCAAUUGGCACACUGUCUUGUCCUCUGUUUCUUAGAUAGUUCAAUUUUUUCAUCAAUAAGAAAAAAAGUGUCAAAAGUAUCCUAAUAGAAAGUUCAUGAUCAACCCCUUCAAAGUUCAAACAAUUAUUCAAUCUGAUAACCAAAUAAAGUAAUGUGAUUCCACAGCAUAUUACUAAAAUAAUGUGGUUUGAAAAUGAGCUCAAAAGAGUACGAAAGUUUGGAGCUUAGACAAUUAAAAGCUAAGCAUUUAACUUAUAGCCCAAGCCUACUACUA